AGGUGACCUGCGGAAGGAUCAUUAACGAGUUAGGGUCUUCUAGGCCCGACCUCCCAACCCUAUGUUUAUUGAACCUCUGUUGCUUCGGCGGACCCGCCUCACGGCCGCCGGAGGACCGCUGCAAGGCGUCCUCUGGCCAGCGUCCGCCGAUGGCCAACCACUUAAACUCUGAAUGAAUCGUGUCAUAUGUCUAAGUCUAUGAUUAAAUUAAAGCAAAACUUUCAACAACGGAUCUCUUGGUUCUGGCAUCGAUGAAGAACGCAGCGAAAUGCGAUAAGUAAUGCGAAUUGCAGAAUUCCAGUGAGUCAUCGAAUCUUUGAACGCACAUUGCGCCCUUUGGUAUUCCGAAGGGCAUGCCUGUUCGAGCGUCAUUAUCACCCCUCAAGCCCCGUGCUUGGUGUUGGACGGCCGGUCGAGCGAUCGACCCCUCCUAAAGACAAUGACGGCGGCCUGUGGUUCCCCCGGUACACUGAGCUUUUAACUGAGCACGUAUCGGACAAGGGCACCCGGGACCCGGUCCUCUCCUUUAACUAGGAAACUUCUAAGGUUGACCUCGGAUCAGGUAGGAAUACGCGCUGAACUUAAGCAUAUCAAUAAGCGCAGGAAAAGAAACCAACAGGGAUUACCUCAGUAACGGCGAGUGAAGCGGUAAUAGCUCAAAUUUGAAAUCUGGCCUCUCGGGGUCCGAGUUGUAAUUUGUAGAGGAUGUUUUGGGUACCGCCCCGGUCUAAAUUUCUUGGAACAGAAUGUCAAAGAGGGUGAGAAUCCCGUCUUGGA
rnacentral:rRNA from 1 species